rfam:Triticum aestivum genome assembly, contig: Triticum_aestivum_CS42_TGACv1_scaffold_345963_4DL
GAUAUACUUCGUCCGUCCGGAAAUACUUGUCAUCAAAAUGGAUAAAAAGAGAUGUAUCGAGAACUAAAAUACAUCUAGAUACAUUCCCUUUUAUCCAUUUUGAUGACAAGUAUUUUUGGACGGAGGAAGUAGUUU